GAACGCUGGCGGCAGGCUUAACACAUGCAAGUCGAGCGCCCCGCAAGGGGAGCGGCAGACGGGAGAGUAACACGUGGGAACGCGCCCUUCGGUUCGGAAUAACUCAGGGAAACUUGAGCUAAUACCGGAUACGCCCUAACGGGGAAAGAUUUAUUGCCGAAGGAACGGCCCGCGUCUGAUUAGCUASUUGGUGAGGUAAUGGCUCACCAAGGCGACGAUCAGUAGCUGGUCUGAGAGGAUGACCAGCCUCACUGGGACUGAGACACGGCCCAGACUCCUACGGGAGGCAGCAGU
rnacentral:rRNA from 1 species